rnacentral:rRNA from 1 species
AAACACGAUAAUUAUUAACGACUCUCGACAACGGAUAUCUCGGCUCUCGCAUCGAUGAAGAACGUAGCGAAAUGCGAUACUUGGUGUGAAUUGCAGAAUCCCGUGAACCAUCGAGUCUUUGAACGCAAGUUGCGCCCGAAGCCUUCUGGCCGAGGGCACGUCUGCCUGGGCGUCAUG